GGAAACUAAGUUUUAUUAUUACUUGAAGUUUCCAUUUUUAAAAGGUUGUUUUUUUAAGCUGCUAGGAUCUGAGCUGCGCGUACCUCCGCGGUGGCUCGCCCGCGUGGGCUGGGGACGGGGCGGGGACGGCCUUCGUGGGCCUCCUCCGCUGCUCUCGUGCUGCGCUGACCCGCCCUGCAAAAGUGGCCGGAUGAGGUGGCUCACGCCUGAAACUGCAGCACUUUGGGAGGCUGAGGCAACAGAAACAACCAGAAAAUGGAUGAGUAGAAGAGAAACGAUUCUAAUUAUAGGAACUUUUUAGGAGAGUCUCACUCUGUCACCCAGGCUGGAGUGCAAUGGCGUGACCUCAGCUCACUGCAACCUCCACCUCCCGGGUUCAAGCAAUUCUCCUGCCUCAGCCUCCCAAGUAGCUGGGACUACAGGUAUGUGCCACCACACCUGGCUAAUUUUAUAUUUUCAUUUCCUCUUUAAUGGAUCUCUUUCCAGACACAGCCACAUUCUAAGGUCCUGGGGUUAGGAAUGCAACCUGUGAAUUUCAAGGGACAUAAUUCACUUUCUAACAGCCCCCUACCCCAACAAGCAGGUGAGCCCCAGCCAGCUUUCCUGGCAGCGCCUGUUUGAACGGGACUGGCUGGCCCUGUGGGGAUACUUGGAUUCUUAGACUGAGGGUUCGUGUGCCUCUGAGGUAAUUGUCGACGACAGCCCUCUCUCUAGACAUAGGACAUCAUAAGAUGUGGGCUAACUGCACAGAUCUAGAAAGGUAGGGCACAGGGGCAUCAGGAUCAGGACAUUACUGGUGUGUCCUGUUCCUGAUCAACAGGGUAGGCAGCUUAGGAGCCAAGGACACACGUCCCCUUUAUCCUCUAGAAUGCCUGCCUGUGUGUGAGCUGCACCAUGGUGCUGAGCUAGGGCGAGAAGUGUGGCCACUGGCUGGAAACGGGAAGAGUGAGAUGCUGCCACCAGGCUUCCAUGUGGUGUGUGUCCCUGGGGUGCAGAACUGAGGUGAGAAGGCUGCUGUCCCCCACGCUGAUCCCGCCCUACCAGGUCUGGAUGGAGCCUGUGCAUUUGCCAUUGCAAUGUGCAAUUUUAUUAAAUGUUUAAAAAAAUAAAGAGACUGGGCCCAGGCUGGGGUGCAAUCACAGCUCACUGCAGCCUCGAUCUCCUGGGCCCGAGCAGUCUUCCCGCCUCGGUUUCUCAAAUAGCUGGAACCACAGUUAUGAGCCACCAUGCCCAGGUCAUAAGACUCUCAUUCCAAAGAGGGUCCUGUCUUAUACCCAAGAGGAAGGACUGCAGCGCAGAGAGGCCAAGCAGAAUCUAGACACGCGGGCCUGCUGGGCGUCGCCACCCAGUGGAUCAGCAGAUCUCGCCGGAUCCUGUUUCUCCACAGCAGUCCAUAUUUGCUGAACCUAAGCAUUAAACUGACAGCUUCCUCUGUGUUCAUUCUGAAGACUCUUGUGUCACAUAAAGCUAUGAUGAAAUAAAUUUGUAUGCUUUCUCUCUUUUAAUCUGCCU
rnacentral:lncRNA from 13 species